rnacentral:lncRNA from 1 species
GGGCUGGGAGCAGGACUCCAAGAGGCUUGUGCAUGGUCCCCAAAAGGAAAGGAAGGUCAUGGUCAUCAUUUCUAGCAUGCUGACCGUUUCGGAAUCCGGGCUGUACAUGUUUAGUGGAGGGUUUAAGCAACCUCCGAGGCAUCUACGGAUGGAGAAACGGGCCAAGGAGCAUGCAUGCCCUGUCAAUAGAGGUUAUGCUCCCAACUCUGCUAUUGACCCUCCUGUGUCUGCAUCCCCGGAGUUCUCUGUAGAACGCAGUUCUGGCGUUGGACAUCUUGGUCCAAUUCCUUCUACAGUGGAUUCAUUGAGUACCUAG